rnacentral:rRNA from 1 species
GAUGAACGCUGACAGAAUGCUUAACACAUGCAAGUCUACUUGAACUUCGGUUUGGGUGGCGGACGGGUGAGUAAUGCGUAAAGAACUUGCCUCACAGAUAGGGACAACAUUUGGAAACGAAUGCUAAUACCUGAUAUUAUGAUUUUAGGGCAUCCUAGAAUUAUGAAAGCUAUAUGCACUGUGAGAGAGCUUUGCGUCCCAUUAGCUAGUUGGAGAGGUAACGGCUCACCAAGGCGAUGAUGGGUAGCCGGCCUGAGAGGGUGAUCGGCCACAAGGGGACUGGGACACGGCCCUUACUCCUACGGGAGGCAGCAGUGGGGAAUAUUGGACAAUGGACCAAGAGUCUGAUCCAGCAAUUCUGUGUGCACGAUGAAGUUUUUCGGAAUGUAAAGUGCUUUCAGUUGGGAAGAAAAAAAUGACGGUACCAACAGAAGAAGUGACGGCUAAAUACGUG